rnacentral:rRNA from 1 species
AGUGAACGCUGGCGGUAGGCCUAACACAUGCAAGUCGAACGGCAGCACAGUAAGAGCUUGCUCUUACGAGUGGCGAGUGGCGGACGGGUGAGGAAUACAUCGGAAUCUACUUUUUCGUGGGGGAUAACGUAGGGAAACUUACGCUAAUACCGCAUACGACCUACGGUGAAAGCAGGGGAUCUUCGGACCUUGCGCGAUUGAAUGAGCCGAUGUCGGAUUAGCUAGUUGGCGGGGUAAAGGCCCACCAAGGCGACGAUCCGUAGCUGGUCUGAGAGGAUGAUCAGCCACACUGGAACUGAGACACGGUCCAGACUCCUACGGGAGGCAGCAGUGGGGAAUAUUGGACAAUGGGCGCAAGCCUGAUCCAGCCAUACCGCGUGGGUGAAGAAGGCCUUCGGGUUGUAAAGCCCUUUUGUUGGGAAAGAAAAGCAGCAGGUUAAUACCCCGCUGUUCUGACGGUACCCAAAGAAUAAGCACCGGCUAACUUCGUG